CAGACACCUGUUCCCGUAAGCUCAUCGAAGUUAAGUAAACUUAAGCUUAGUCAGUACUUAGAUGGGUGACGGCUUGGGAAUACCAGGUUUUGUAAG